GACUACAUGAAGCUGGAAUCGCUAGUAAUCGCGGAUCAGAAUGCCGCGGUGAAUACGUUCCCGGGUCUUGUACACACCGCCCGUCACACCAUGGGAGUCGGAAAUGCCCGAAGUCUGUGACCUAACCGCAAGGGAGGAGCAGCCGAAGGCAGGUCGGAUGACUGGGUGAAGUCGUAACAAGGUAAC
rnacentral:rRNA from 1 species